AUUCACUGUAAUCACUCCUGCCAGGCAGCACUGCUGUGCUAUUCUGUGAUUUCACAGGCAUUAUAGCAAUGGAAGCGCUGUCACCUAGACAAAAUGCGGAGGUGGAAAUAUACUGGAAAACCAUUUUCGUCAUCAAGGAAAGCUUAACUGUACCAGAGCAAUCCCAAAGUGAUGUGAACCAAUGCUACCUACCAGCAAUACUAAAAUCAGAGCCUGGGGACCUGUAUUGUGAACAAGAUCGGUAUUGGGUUUAGAAGCAGGUAAUAAAUAAGUAGUGAAAUGGACAGAUUAACAACAUAUUUUGAAAGUUCUAGACAACUUUUUUCCUCAACCAUCAGAAAUACCACCUAUAAACAUGUAGAUAUAUUUAAAAAGAGACUUCUUAAGCUAUACUGUCUUCAGCUUUUGCAUACUUUAUAAGAAUUUGACAAAACCUAAUAAAAGUAUGUAUUCCUUCUAAGGAAUUGCAACUGAAUUCUACAGUUCAUAGAUCCAAAAUAAGCAGUUUGUGUAACCUUACUUUAAGUUCAUUAACAACAGAAGAAUGUCGCCUUGGGGAAUUUGUCUUGUUACACGUUCCUAGAGAUAUACACAGAGCUCAGACGAAGAGACAGUCCAUAACCCAUGCUCUGUCCUUGAACCAGCAUUUCCAUCAAUAUUUUACUACUCAUUUCUAAAACAAUCAGAUAACUUUCCCUUUGAAUUGGG
rnacentral:lncRNA from 1 species